rnacentral:tRNA from 1 species
AGCUCUUUAGUAUAAUUUUUAGUAUGUCUGUUUGUGGCACAGGAGGUAUUUGGAGCUU